rnacentral:lncRNA from 1 species
AGCAGUCAAAGAAUGUCCUUGCAUGUUUGAUGUGAUAAGCAGACAAUAAAGAAAUCUACUUGGCUUGAAACUACAGUUGCCUCUAGGACAUGAAGAUGACCUUCAGCCAACAGCCAACAAGACUUUGAAGCUUUCAUUCACGUAUUCACAAGGAAAUGAAUUCUGCCAACUACUUGAAUUAACUUGGAAGUAGAUUCUUCCUCAAUGGUGCCUCCAGAUGAGAAUACAGUGGGCCUGGCAACUUGAGUUCAGCCUGACCCUGUACAGAACACUGAUUUACCCAUGCCCAGAUUUAUCUGAUCAACAGAAACUAUGAGGGACUUCAAAUACGUGACAAUAGAGACAAAUGAAUGAGGAAAAGAAAUACAAAAAUAUACCUUUUAUCAUGAGGAUUAUUCUUUCCUGAAGGACGCGUGAGACAUUUGGUGCAGAAGACCUGGGUCAGAGGGACUCCUUCGGGAGACCAGUCUCCUGUCCU